rnacentral:rRNA from 1 species
CGCGUAGGCGGGGAGGUAAGUCGGGCGUGAAAUCCCUCGGCCCAACCGAGGAACUGCGCCCGAGACUGCUUCUCUUGAGUCCCGGAGAGGAAGAUGGAAUUCCCGGUGUAGCGGUGAAAUGUGUAGAGAUCGGGAGGAACACCGGUGGCGAAGGCGGUCUUCUGGACGGUGACUGACGCUGAGGCGCGAAAGCGUGGGGAGCAAACG